rnacentral:rRNA from 1 species
UGUAUGGUUAAGUGACUAAGCGUACACGGUGGAUGCCUGGGCAGUCAGAGGCGAUGAAGGACGUACUAACUUGCGAUAAGCGCAGAUAAGGCAGUAAGAGCCGUUUGAGUCUGCGAUUUCCGAAUGGGGAAACCCAACUGCAUAAGCAGUUACUGUUAACUGAAUACAUAGGUUAACAGAGCAAACCGGGGGAACUGAAACAUCUAAGUACCCCGAGGAGAAGAAAUCAACCGAGAUUCCGGUAGUAGCGGCGAGCGAACCUGGAUUAGCCCUUAAGCACUCGGUGAAGUAGGUGAACAAGCUGGAAAGCUUGGCGAUACAGGGUGAUAGCCCCGUAACCGACGCUUCAUCGAGCGUGAAAUCGAGUAGGGCGGGACACGUGAUAUCCUGUCUGAAUAUGGGGGGACCAUCCUCCAAGGCUAAAUACUCCUGACUGACCGAUAGUGAACCAGUACCGUGAGGGAAAGGCGAAAAGAACCCCUGUGAGGGGAGUGAAAUAGAACCUGAAACCGUGUACGUACAAGCAGUAGGAGCACCUUCGUGGUGUGACUGCGUACCUUUUGUAUAAUGGGUCAGCGACUUAUAUUCAGUGGCAAGGUUAACCGUAUAGGGGAGCCGUAGCGAAAGCGAGUCUUAACUGGGCGCUCAGUCUCUGGAUAUAGACCCGAAACCGGGUGAUCUAGCCAUGGGCAGGUUGAAGGUUGAGUAACAUCAACUGGAGGACCGAACCGACUAAUGUUGAAAAAUUAGCGGAUGACUUGUGGCUAGGGGUGAAAGGCCAAUCAAACUCGGAGAUAGCUGGUUCUCCCCGAAAGCUAUUUAGGUAGCGCCUCGGACGAAUACUACUGGGGGUAGAGCACUGUUAAGGCUAGGGGGUCAUCCCGACUUACCAACCCUUUGCAAACUCCGAAUACCAGUAAGUACUAUCCGGGAGACACACGGCGGGUGCUAACGUCCGUCGUGGAGAGGGAAACAACCCAGACCGCCAGCUAAGGUCCCAAAGUAUUGCUAAGUGGGAAACGAUGUGGGAAGGCUCAGACAGCUAGGAUGUUGGCUUAGAAGCAGCCAUCAUUUAAAGAAAGCGUAAUAGCUCACUAGUCGAGUCGGCCUGCGCGGAAGAUGUAACGGGGCUAAGCAAUACACCGAAGCUGCGGCAAUGUCUUUUAGACAUUGGGUAGGGGAGCGUUCUGUAAGCCGUUGAAGGUGAAUCGUAAGGUUUGCUGGAGGUAUCAGAAGUGCGAAUGCUGACAUGAGUAACGACAAAGGGGGUGAAAAACCUCCUCGCCGGAAGACCAAGGGUUCCUGUCCAACGUUAAUCGGGGCAGGGUGAGUCGACCCCUAAGGUGAGGCCGAAAGGCGUAAUCGAUGGGAAACGGGUUAAUAUUCCCGUACUUCUGACUAUUGCGA